rnacentral:rRNA from 1 species
UUGGAGGGCAAGUCUGGUGCCAGCAGCCGCGGUAAUUCCAGCUCCAAUAGCGUAUAUUAAAGUUGUUGCAGUUAAAAAGCUCGUAGUUGAAUUUUGGAUUCGGCCAAUUGGUCCAUCUUUUAGAUGAGUACUGGUUGUGUUGGGUCUAUCCGCCUGGUGAUACGUAAUGUCCUUUAUUGGGUGUUGCGGGUAGUCAGGACCUUUACCUUGAAAAAAUUAGAGUGUUUAAAGCAGGCUUAUGCCGGAAUACAUUAGCAUGGAAUAAUAGAAUAGGACGAAGUUGUUUUAUUUUGUUGGUUUCUAGGACAACCGUAAUGAUUAAUAGGGAUAGUUGGGGGCAUUAGUAUUCAAUUGUCAGAGGUGAAAUUCUUCGAUUUAUUGAAGACUAACUACUGCGAAAGCAUUUGCCAAGGAUGUUUUCAUUAAUCAAGAACGAAAGUUAGGGGAUCGAAGACGAUCAGAUACCGUCGUAGUCUUAACCAUAAACUAUGCCGACUAGGGAUCGGGCGAUGUUGUUUCCAUGACUCGCUCGGCACCUUAUGGGAAACCAAAGUGUUUGGGUUC